UUUCCGUAGGUGAACCUGCGGAAGGAUCAUUACCGAGCUAGGGCCCUCUGGGUCCAACCUCCCACCCGUGUCUCUUGUACCUCGUUGCUUCCGCGGGCCCGCCUCACCGCCGCCGGGGUGCAUCACGCCCCCGGGCCAGCUCCCGCCGAUGACACCCACGAACUCUGUCUCAAGAGUGCAACCUGACUGAAAUGAUAAAUUAUUUAAAACUUUCAACAACGGAUCUCUUGGUUCCG
rnacentral:misc_RNA from 1 species